rnacentral:misc_RNA from 1 species
UUUCCGUAGGUGAACCUGCGGAAGGAUCAUUAUCAAAACAGCGGACUUCGGUCCUUGCUGCACCCUUGUCUUUUGCGUACCGUAUGUUUCCUCGGCGGGCUUGCCUGCCGGUUGGACAUUAUCAAACCUUUUUGUAGUUGCAAUCAGCGUCAGAAACAAAACAAUAAUUACAACUUUCAAAACCGGAUCUCUUGGUUCUGGAAUCGAUAAAGACCGCAGC